CUCAGAUGAUGCCAACCCUGAAACAACAUAAACUACCAAAAUUUGCUACAAGUUUGAUUGCAACAUAUAAUCAUAGCUGUUAAUAGUAUUUAUCGUCUGUUUGAUUACGUCAUUAACUGAAUUGUACGGUACAAUUCUGCCAUAUGUACAUCAAUUAGACAUAGUUGUCACACCCAGGGGCUGGCUAUGCUUUGACUAAGCCACACCCCUUCUCAACUUCCACCUCGAGGAGGUCCCCAAAGCCAACCCAAUGGCCAAACAACACGAGAACAAGUAAGUGAUAAAACAAUCUUUAUUUAAAUAUUUAAAAAUAGCUUGGGGAAUAGGGAAAGGGCAAUUAAAACUAAACCCUGACUCGGCCCUCCAGAUGGGCUAUGGCCGGGAAGAGGUCAGGGAGCAAGGGGGCCACGGGGAUCCGGGGCGUGGGACUCAGGCCCCGGCCUGAGUCUUAGGUAUCCGUAGCGCCCUCCUUCUUCCUCCUCUUCGCUGAUUGCAGCUCACAGUAAGUACUGGUUCACACAGUUCGUUCUCUGGGUGCUCACUCUCUUUCUCUUUCUCCACAGGCAUCAACUUGGGCACACUAGCACAGUUAGUUUGCUUUGAAUGGCUCUCACCUCUGGGCUGGACACAGCGUACUGUAAGUACAGGGUUCGCUCUAUUCCUCCUCGUGUUAUUCACUCUCUCUCCUUUUCUCUCCACAGGUAUCAACUUGGGCACAAUAGCACAGUUACUCUGCUUUGGAUGGCUUUCACCUCUGGGCUGGACACAGCGUACUGUAAGUACAGGGUUCGCUCUAUUCCUUCUCGUGUUAUUCACUCUCUCUCCUUUUCUCUCCACAGGCAUCAACUUGGGCACAAUAGCACAGUUACUCUGCUUUGGAUGGCUUUCACCUCUGGGCUGGACACAGCGUACUGGUUCACACAGUUCGUUCUCUGGGUGCUCACUCUCUUUCUCUUUCUCCACAGGUAUCAACUUGGGCACAAUAGCACAGUUAGUUUGCUUUGAAUGGCUCUCACCUCUGGGCUGAACACAGCGUACUGUAAGUACAGGUUUCCUCUGUUUCUCCUUGUGUUACUCACUCUCUCUUUCCUUUCCUCUCCACAGGUAUCAACUUGGACGCAAAGCACAGUUACUCUGCUUUGGAUGGCUUUCACCUCUGGGCUGGACACAGCGUACUGUGCUAUCUCCGGAGAUCUGAAGCACGCGCACAACAUAUACUGUACUGAACUAGGCUAGGACCAGCAGUCUCCUUGUCCUCCCGCGACGAAGUGCGUGAAGGCGGGGGUUUAUCUGACAGGACACACGGCAAUACACAGCAGCCCACAGCAAUAUACAGCACCACGUCAAAAAUUAUAGGUUUUCACAGCAUGAAGACUCACCCACCACACUCAGUGUACGAAAAGGACACCCGUCUUCCUUCACUUCGCUUGGUUCGGAUCUGGCGAUGGAAUAUGCGGCCUAGCUAGUGAUGUCGUCGUUGUGACUACUUCAAUAAGUAUUCCUUCGGCUCUCCCACCACGCUAUAUUAGGGGUAGGGCCGCCCUCCUCCUCCUGGAGAGAUCUACACAACGCCAGGUCAAUAUACAGGGCACUUUCGACUGGCUCUUAGUACUCACAUCAAUGCCGCUUCCAAUCCCCUUUUUCACGUCGUCUCAGUUCGCCGUAAAAUCCGUUCACUUCUCAACCUUUAAGGUUCGCGAUGUCUUCACAAUCAUACAAUUCCAGCCUGAGGGAGAGAGAGAGUUAGACAGCCGCCAGCAGCGCACCAAGACGGGCACAACACAGUGCUUCACACACACCAGAAAGAGCGCCCAGACUGUGAAAUAACUUGGCCUUAAGUACUGCCUUGUCCAGCGUAUCCUCCAAUCACCAACCGCUGUCCCUAACUAGGCACAGGUGCAUCGAAUUCCCUGAUUUUCCUUCUUACGGCGCUACCGGAAAUUCCGGUGUUCUGUUUUUCCGGUCCGGGCGGAAACACUUCCGGGCGGAACCAAACUUCCCGAAUUUUGGUUCCGCCCCUAAAGAUCGUCACCUUGUGACAUCGUCACCAUUGACAAGCUACUACUAAAUAUGUUGUAGAAACUUAGUUUUCUAUAAAGCUGCUUUGCAAUCAUUUGUUUAUCAUUUGUAUCAUGAAAAGCGCUAUACAAAUAAACUUGAAUUGAAUUGAAUGAUCAUGCUAUAGUGUCAAAACAGUGUAGUCACUCCUUUGAAAAUUGCAUAUUUUUGUAAAUUAUGUGUAUUU
ensembl:lncRNA